GACGAACGCUGGCGGCGUGCUUAACACAUGCAAGUCGAACGGAAAGGCCCUGCUUUUGUGGGGUGCUCGAGUGGCGAACGGGUGAGUAACACGUGAGUAACCUGCCCUUGACUUUGGGAUAACUUCAGGAAACUGGGGCUAAUACCGGAUAGGAGCUCCUGCUGCAUGGUGGGGGUCGGAAAGUUUCGGCGGUUGGGGAUGGACUCGCGGCUUAUCAGCUUGUUGGUGGGGUAGUGGCUUACCAAGGCUUUGACGGGUAGCCGGCCUGAGAGGGUGACCGGCCACAUUGGGACUGAGAUACGGCCCAGACUGCUACGGGAGGCAGCAGUGGGGAAUAUUGCACAAUGGGCGGAAGCCUGAUGCAGCAACGCCGCGUGCGGGAUGACGGCCUUCGGGUUGUAAACCGCUUUCGCCUGUGACGAAGCGUGAGUGACGGUAAUGGGUAAAGAAGCACCGGCUAACUACGUG
rnacentral:rRNA from 1 species